UAUACAUUUGGUCUUCAAAUAGUUCAGUUAAACCAGAAAAAUCCACAUGAAAGAUAAAUUUGAGCAAGAAAAGAUUGCUUUGCUCUGGGGGAAUAGAGCUGCCACAUAAUGAGGCAGCUCCGUAGAAAAGCUCAUAUAACAAGGAGCUAAGGACUGACAGCAGCCAUAUGUAUUACCUUAGAAGUGGAUUCUCUCUGUCAACACUUGCAAUGAGCAAAGCCACAAAUCACCUUGACACCUUGACUGUCCUGAGCCAGAACUAUCUCACUAAGUCAUUGCUGUAUUCCCCACCUUAAGAAACUGUGAGAUAAUAAAUUUUUAUUUUCAA